ensembl:snRNA U6 U6 spliceosomal RNA
GUUCAUCAAAAAGCAUAAACCUACACUAAAAUUGGGCCAAUACAGAGAAAAUGAACAUGGCCCCUGAGCAAGGAUUGCCGCAGAUUUGUGAAGCGUUUUGUAUUUUU